GCCUAGUUAGCUUGGUAGUGCGUCUGCCUUGUAAGCGCUAGGCCGCGGGUUCGAUUCCCGCCCGGGGCG
rfam:Asian citrus Psyllid, Diaphorina citri - Florida Strain, whole genome shotgun sequence.